GGCUCGUCUGCUUUGACCUGAAGACAUUCAGCGUCAGCUAUAAAUUUUGGAACGUCUCCUUUAGGGGAGACAAA
rnacentral:snRNA from 13 species